rnacentral:rRNA from 1 species
GACGAACGCUGGCGGCGUGCCUAAUACAUGCAAGUUGAGCGCUGAAGGUUGGUACUUGUACCAACUGGAUGAGCAGCGAACGGGUGAGUAACGCGUGGGGAAUCUGCCUUUGAGCGGGGGACAACAUUUGGAAACGAAUCUAAUACCGCAUAAAAACUUUAAACACAAGUUUUAAGUUUGAAAGAUGCAAUUGCAUCACUCAAAGAUGAUCCCGCGUUGUAUUAGCUAGUUGGUGAGGUAAAGGCUCACCAAGGCGAUGAUACAUAGCCGACCUGAGAGGGUGAUCGGCCACAUUGGGACUGAGACACGGCCCAAACUCCUACGGGAGGCAGCAGUAGGGAAUCUUCGGCAAUAGACGAAAGUCUGACCGAGCAACGCCGCGUGAGUGAAGAAGGUUUUCGGAUCGUAAAACUCUGUUGGUAGAGAAGAACGUUGGUGAGAGUGGAAAGCUCAUCAAGUGACGGUAACUACCCAGAAAGGGACGGCUAACUACGUG